rnacentral:rRNA from 1 species
GAUGAACGCUGGCGGCGUGCUUAACACAUGCAAGUCGAACGAAGACAUCUGAGUGCUUGCACUUGGAUGGACUGAGUGGCGGACGGGUGAGUAACGCGUGGGUAACCUGCCUUAUACAGGGGGAUAACAGUUGGAAACGACUGCUAAUACCGCAUAAGCGCACGGUAUCGCAUGAUACAGUGUGAAAAACUCCGGUGGUAUAAGAUGGACCCGCGUCUGAUUAGCUUGUUGGUGAGGUAACGGCCCACCAAGGCGACGAUCAGUAGCCGGCCUGAGAGGGUGAACGGCCACAUUGGGACUGAGACACGGCCCAAAACUCCUACGGGGAGCAGCAGUGGGGAAUAUUGCACAAUGGGGGAAACCCUGAUGCAGCGACGCCGCGUGAGUGAUGAAGUA